rnacentral:lncRNA from 1 species
GAGAUCACAAGGUUCAGGGCCCCUUAGACCCUCGUCAUUCCUGCAAGUUGCUGGUGAAACAGCCCUGUCCUGUCCACGCUGCUGAGUCCCUGCGUUGAUACAAUUGCUGCGGGUUGCAUGCACCACUGCGGGUGCUGGCUCACAGGAAGAGGGAAGGUUUCGGUUCCCCAUGUGGCUGAGGAAUGGAAUACGCCCAGCCUCCUGUACAGAUGGGAAAGGAGACCAGUCGACUCACAUCAGAGGCAACAGGCCGCACCAGCGUGGAGACACAGCUCUGUCAGCUUGGAUCAGAAUGGAUUGUGCCGGCGACAGCAUUAGCCAAUUGCCAGCCAUCCCGGAGUCCGACAGCGAGUCCUCUGAGGAUGAAGAAGUGGCUACGCAUGAGGCCCUCCUCCAGGAGAGGGAUGAAGCUAAAGAGAAGCUGUCUGAGUUUGAGCAAGCGUCACAGAGGCUGCUGGCGGAGCUCUCAGCGCUGGAGGUGGAGUAUGAAAUUGAAGUAUCAUGUCGCAAACAAGCCGAAGUCUACGCAGCCCAGGUGAACAGGGAGAACAAAGAACUGAAGCGGAUCAGCGUGGCACUGCUGCCCAUGUUGAACCAGCUUCCCGAGGACGUGCUGAGUCUGGCUACUGAAGAAGCCUCCCCCUCCGACCCAAGCCGAGAUCCAGCGUAUCCGUACCUGCAGCAGAUCAAAGGUGAGUUGCGCGCCUCCGCCCUGGGGUCCCAGACUGAGACUUGGGAACAACCAGAGAAGAGGCUCUCCCCUAGGAAUCCAUUCCAGGUGCUUACACUGAGCCAGUGCUGGGAUGGGGUUUGGGCAUUUAGCUAGAGCUGUGGGGCAGAGCAGAAACCUCAUGGCUUACCUGACUUUAGACGUAACAGUGCCAGACACCUAGAGAUCCAUGCCUAGGGAGUGGUGUGAGGGGUAUUCCAGGACUUAAUUCAUCUGAAU